UGAGAGACAGUCAGAUUUUUUUCUCCGAUUUCUGACUUCAAACUCAGAACUAAAAUACAUCUUUCACAAGUGGCCCUGAUCCUCUUCCGAAGU